GACGAACGCUGGCGGCGUGCUUAAUACAUGCAAGUCCACUGAAGCCGUGGAAGCAAUAUCGCCGUGGAGGUGGCGCACGGGUGAGUAACACGUAGGUAAUCUGCCUUCAGGUCUGGCAUAGCUCUGGGAAACCGGGGCUAAUAGCAGUAGAUGCAGCGGCCCGACAUCGAGACAGUUGUUAAAGCUAUGGCGGCUGAAGAUGAUGCUGCGGCUGGUUAGCGGGUUGGUGGGGUAACGGACCACCAAGGCAACGAUCAGUAGAUGGUAUGAUAGGAUGAUCAGGCACACAGGAACGGUCACGAGGUCCAGACGCCGACGCGGGGCAGCAGUUUGGAAUAUUGCUCAAUGGGUGAUCCCGUGAUGCCGCGUCGCCGCGGGAGGGACGAGGGGCGUUUACUUGUAAUCCUCUGUAGUGAGAGAAAAAAAUCCCAAUCUUGGGGACAUGACGGUACCUCAAGAGUAAGCCCCGGCUAACUACGUG
rnacentral:rRNA from 1 species